GUGUUAUGGUUACCUGAAGGGCCGAGAGACACAUCUCUGGUUCAUCCCCACCUCCAAGAGCGGUCAGAUCCUCCAUGUAUUGCAUGAACUGAUGAGGGUCAUCCAUCUCCAUCACCGGCCCAAAACCUGAGAUAUCAUCCGUGUGCUCAACAUUUAACUAAAUAAACACAUCUUCAUCUAUAUUAAUCUAAUUUAGCUUCAAAGAAAAUCUUCGAGAUGAAAACAGGAUUUUUACAUAUUGCAUCAAAGUGAUGCAACAAAGUGUUUUGUACAGUAUAAUAGGCAUUAAGAUGUCAUUCUAACUAGGGUCAUGAAAAGGCACCAGAAUGAAGGUGCCAGGCAGACAAGUGCGCUGGCUCUUUUCUCUGGCCUGUAUUAUGGAGAGGGCUCAGAGUCGGGCAGCUGUGAUCUCCUCAAACAUGCUGCCAGUGGUGUCCAUGAUGAAGACCAAUGCUGGGGGCUGCUGGACACUGAAGAACCUACAGGAGCUUCAAAGAAGACGGAGAAAGCCAGAGUCUUGUGCCCUGUAUUUAUCAGUAUCCUUAUGUCCAUUGGGUGAAAAAGAAAAACUUAAUAAACAAAGUAAAAAAUUAUUUGACUGAUAUCUUCCCCCGCCAAGGUUUCUAUAAAUAUCACAAUAUAUCAAUAUCGUGAAUUCUUAUGGCCACAAUAACCGUAAUAUGAAAAAUCUAAUAUCGUGACAGCCCUAAUUGCAGUUAUUGUCACCAUUAAUGCAGCAACAUGCAUUUGCUGCUUUUGACCUCUAAGUGGCGCUAAACCAUAUACCUUCACAAGUUAGGAUCUAAGCACAUUUUGUGAGUAGCAUGAAGGUGAAGUUGCAUUCGCAAUACAAAAGUGACAUUAAAACAUUUAAUUUUGCAACAUCCUUCUAAUCAUAGAAAGUUUUGCAUGUUACUGGAAAACUACAUUGUUUUGACAGCAUCUGAACUACUAGCACACUAUUAAUUUAUGUGGUUAAAGAGUCACUGUGGUUUGUGUGUUGGAUGUGAAAAAUACCACACGCUGACAAACUGUAUACCUUGUUUUAAUUUUCUUGUCUUCGUUUCACUCUGCAACAACUCUCUAUCUACAGAUCACAUGACUGUUAUUGUUACUAUGUAAGAAAUUAUCACUUUCUAAAAAUGGAAAAAACAAACAUAGAAUGUGAAUAAUUCUGUGUGGAUCAGUAGUAGAUUCAUAUAGCAGUCAAAAGGACAUUAACUAUUUGCUAUUUAAGUAUUUUGAAAUGUACGUUGAGGAAUAAUGAUUAUUCAUCAGAAAAAUCCAAUGUGAGUGGUGAAUAUUGUUGUGCAAAUAUAUGUAGUUCUACUCAAAUAUAUGUAAUAUACUGUUCAUCUGUUAGCACUGUUUGACAGUGUUUCCGCAUUCAGAACGCCUUCACAGCAUGACUAUUAUUGUACUUUAGUGAAAGCACUGCCUUAUUCUGUUCACACCAGUGCAGAGACCAUGUAACAGCAUAUUGGUCACAAGCUACGAGAAACUCAAUAAUUUUUUGCAGAGAAAGCGAAAGAAAUCUCUUAGCAGCCAUGGUCGGUGUGCUUCUCUUUGCAUGUAAGUACUGAAAUUACAAAAUCUAUCAUUAAUGAUCAAUAAAUGAAAUCUACACAAAUGCUGGUAGUGUUGGUUUAAAAAAAUUGGAUUAUUGUUUUUAGAUAUCUCAGUGAAUCUAUUCCUUAAAUGUCAAGGUAUGUUCCAUUAAUACACUUAAUGAACAACUCAGUAAAUGUACUAUUGUUUCCUUAAAUGUCAAGGUAUGUUCCAUUAAUACACUUAAUGAACAACUCAGUAAAUGUACUAUUGUACUUAUCAGGAUGAAAAUGUCCCGAACUUCUUUCCUUCUCAGGUCAAACGAUUCAUCAAGCUAAGAUUUUCUGUGAAAAUAAAGAAGUACCAGAAGGUGGAAGACUGGAGGUUACUUGCAGCACAUUUGGCCUUACAGUAAAGGCAGUUCAUUUAUAUCUGUUUAAAAAUGGCAAAGCUAUUGAUUGGAAAAAACAGUUCAAUCAACAAGACACCUCCUUUAAAAUGGAGAGAAUAGAUAUGAACCAUUCAGGCAACUACAGCUGUGGGUUUUCAGAAGAACAGUUGGAAAUAACCAAAGUGACAGGAUAUGGUCUUAAUAACAUCUUCAUAAAUGUGAUUGGUAAGAUACACAGCACUUUUGCUUACAUUUAUGAGUAUGAUUGAUUCCUGGGCACAGAUAAAAUGUUGAAUUACUUGCAACCACAAUAGACUCAAAAUUGCCUUUAAUGAGAGAGAAAUGUAUGAUAUUGCAUAAUUUUUUAUUUUUUUUGGAUUGAUUUGUCCUGGAAUAUAUUAAGGGGCACACUACAACAUUUAAUCAUAAGUGUUCUCUUUCUCGCCACAGAAUCUUUAAUUUAUACACAGAUACAUUUGCGUAAGCCUGAGGUGCCGGUGGGAAGUGAUGCUGAGUUUAAAUGUUCAGCAUCCAUUCCUUUACACAAAAACCAGUCCGAGAACAUGAUUUUGGUUUAUCUCAUCAAAAAUGGAAAGCCCUGUUGAAGUUAAUAUUUGGGACACAGAGAAGAUGAUGACAACAUUCACCCUCAGAGAGGUCCGGACUGAAGAUGCUGGGAC
rnacentral:lncRNA from 1 species